rnacentral:rRNA from 1 species
AUUGCCCUAGUAACGGCGAGUGAAGCGGCAACAGCUCAAAUUUGAAAUCUGGCCUCGGCCCGAGUUGUAAUUUGUAGAGGAUGCUUUUGAUGCGGCGCCUUCUGAGUUCCCUGGAACGGGACGCCAGAGAGGGUGAGAGCCCCGUAGAGUCGGACGCCAAGUCUCUGUAAAGCUCCUUCGACGAGUCGAGUAGUUUGGGAAUGCUGCUCAAAAUGGGAGGUAAAUUUCUUCUAAAGCUAAAUACCGGCCAAAGACCGAUAGCGCACAAGUAGAGUGAUCGAAAGAUGAAAAGCACUUUGAAAAGAGGGUUAAAAAGCACGUGAAAUUGUUGAAAGGGAAGCGCUCAUGACCAGACUUGCGCCUUGUGGAUAAGCCAGCGUUCUCGCUGGUGUUUCUGCUCGGUUCAGGCCAGCAUCGGUUUUCUUAGGGGGAUAAAAGCUUCGGGAACGUGGCUCCUCCGGGAGUGUUAUAGCCCGCUGCACAAUAUCCCUAGGGGGACCGAGGCCCGCGCUUCGGCAAGGAUGCUGGCGUAAUGGUCAUCAGCGACCCGUCUUGAAACACGGACCAAGGAGUCAAGCAUUAGGGCGAGUGUUUGGGUGUAAAACCCGCACGCGAAAUGAAAGUGAACGCUGGUGAGAGCUUCGGCGCAUCAUCGACCGAUCCUGAUGUACUCGGAUGGAUUUGAGUAAGAGCCUUACCGCUUGGACCCGAAAGUUGAUGAACUAUGCCUGUAUAGGGUGAAGCCAGAGGAAACUCUGGUGGAGGCUCGCAGCGGUUCUGACGUGCAAAUCGAUCGUCAAAUAUGGGCAUGGGGGCGAAAGACUAAUCGAAUCAACUAGUAGCU